UUUGCCGUGCGAUGCAAAUCGUCGCAAAAAAAUUGUUCAUCGAGUUGGUUAUACGACGUUUCUCGAGAAGUGAAAAAGUUUACAUGAAAACAAAACGAACCCGGAUCGGAACGAAUAUUGAAACCGGACAGAUUACUGUCAAACUAUUAGUUGUCAGUUUGAAUCUAUCCGGUUUCCCUUCGAAUUCUGUUGGAUUUCCUGACGAUUUCUCCCCUGCCAUAACAAUGCGACAGCACGUAGCGUUUUUGUUUCCGGUCAAAUUAUUUAAUUCGACACCUGUUAGCAAAUUAAGCAGCUGGCCUUUAAGGCUCACCACAGUCUGCUAGAAACGCGUUCAAUUUGCUGAAACAAGGUGAUGGACGAACAGCUGGGGGAGCUUCGGUCACAAUUUCAUGGUACCAUUCUUUAAUUCACUGUUCUGAUAGUAGCGGAAUCUGAAUCUGAGACAGGAGUAAAACCCCGGCAGUGAAACAUCAACCCUCAGGAAAUUGCCGGUUUACAAGCAGUUCUUCUAGUGAUUCAAGCUGCAGCUAACCAGGACGAAGUUGCACUUUGCGAACAUCCCAAUUGGGCACCUCUGCAUUGUAUCCCCCUUAUGCAGAACACUCGCAGCGCUAGGAAAAAGCAAAGAGACUUCAGCUUUGGACAACCUUGAAGCUUCUCAAAUAAUGACCACCAUCCCAACGACCAGCAGUUGCGGUAAUCGUGGAAUAGAAUCCGAACUGGAGGAAAUCGAAUCGAGAAACGAAACCUUCCCACUGACUCUGGGAAUGCUGGAUCUCCUCUACACGCUGUGCGAAACAGGAAUAACGAAAACUCUAGGGGCAGGUCCCCGUAAACCCGGCCUCGAUAGCUACAUAACUUUCAUCAUCGAUGCAGUCUUCCUAUGCUUUUACAAUCGUAACUAUAAAGAUGUCAAAUGCGAAAAGUGUGAAAAAAAUGUUUUACCAAACUCAUGGUAUGCAGAUACAUAUGGAAUCGGUUCAUUUGAACAUGAAACACCCGUGUGAUAUCUGCGGCAAGGUGCUAACGGCCAAGAAACUGUUAGUCAAUGCGGCUGCACGAUGAAUCAGCUCUUAGGAGGUGUCCCUAUUGCCCCAAGGAAUCGAAUUGAAACAUCAAAUCAUUUUUUCCGAGAUACAUCAGUUAUCACUACGCGCUGAAAAAGGGUAACAAACUGUGGAAUCAGAAACCUUACAUAAUGUUCUAAGCAACUAUCGAUGUGUUAUUUAACUUUUGACUGGAUCUUUAGAAAAAAAACUCAAGAGUUAUUUUAAAAAAGAAAAAUCAAAUUUUAAGUUGCUACACUUCCGGAAACACUCAUAACACAGGAUAUUCACAGGAGGGCAUUUGGAUUACCGUCUUGGAUUUGAUUUGCACAACACCAUUACCUGAAGGCUUAAUUACAGUUCGGAUGAAAUCUCAUGUGAAUUCGGAGUGCAGCAGGACUGGAAGAAUUUUUACCGCAUAUGAUGCAAACCGUUGAGCCGGAGAAUUCAUCUAAUGAUUUGGACAAACUGGUCGAUCCACCUUGCUGCUGGAUUCGCCUGUGAUUCAACAGGUGAUAUCGGAGAUCGUACUUUAUUUGAAAUCACUGUACCAAAUACAGAUAUCACAAAAAGGGAACUCUUAUGGGCCUUUCCCGGCCGACAGGUGCUCAACCGAGGGACAAAACCUAAAUCUAGCAAAAGCAGGAAGUUUCGUCCCGUCAAGUUGGUGGUCAGAUAAACGAAUCGGAAGAAGCAACCACAAUCAUUUCCCGCAUCCGGUCCGAUUUACCUUGCCUGAUUUAUCGACGCGACAUAGAAGUUUUUCUGUUGACGAUCACCGUAACUGCGAGCUGAACAACGUGAAAAUCCUUUCGCAGCAGGAAUCCGACCUCGGGGUAAUAAGUGCCAACGCCUUCGACGGGAUGAACCACGUCGAUACGCUCAGCAUACUGAACAAGAUUGAUGCAAUCCAGGAGCUCAACAUCACCCACUCGCACCACAUUAGGACGCUCAAGCUGGUGGGUGCUAGAAGCAACAGAAGCAGGCAGUAUAAGCCUGGAGGGCAUCGGGAUGUUGCAUGUGAAAGAUAAUUACUUCACCUGCGGCUGUCACAUCCACACCCUGCUUGAUAUCUCCCUGGCCAUCGUCGUUGGAGGUAAACGGUUCUUGGGUCGCCGCAGAUCUAACCAAAAUCAGCGUCAGCGACAAACCACCAGCAGCAGCAUAUUCCGGCUGUUUGUGAUUCUGGGUCAGCCGUAAGUUUUUUUGUAGCAUCCGGCCAUUAAUGUUAUGUACAUGUACAUGGUGUCGUUUUGUUUAAACCAGUUUGCCUGGGUCAAGCUCGUAACGUUCGCUUCAAGAUGUUCCCCACCCUGCCGGUUCAGGCCGACGGGAAACCCUGGAUGCAGACACCUUGUGAAAGUAUCGGUCACUCAGGGCAGGCCACCAUACUUAGAAAAGUUACGGGUUGAUGACGCGUACGCUCGCAUUUGUUUUCGCAGAACUUUCGACAAAAAGACGCCCAACAAUGGCAACGAUCCUUAUUCGAUCGAUUUGUCCGAUACUGAUAACAAUGUUAAAUUCGUGGCGUCCCCGGAUACAUCGCUUACACCGGUUAAGCGUUCUCCAGUAGCAGGGACGCAACUAUGCGGAACCGUCCCACGUCCGAUUGUGACAGCGGGGGCUCCCGGAGGAGCAGGUGUAAGAACUACACCGAACAAUGCGAUGAGUAAACCUGCCGGUGCUGUUCAACGAUCUGUAUCGUCCCUUAGCACUGUGCCCGACAGCAGUCCAAAAUCAUAAACAAAAUUCCAGCGCAUUAUAAAUUUUUUUUUUCUAAAUAUUGUAUAUAUUGCCAAAAACAAAAUUAUUAAAAUUAUCCAUAGAAAUAAUGUUGUUUUAUUUCCAAAAAUUUGGAAUCGGAACAAAAAUUGACAUCAGGGCAGAAAAACAACAAAAACAACAGGGCAAAGCGUUCGGAUUUUUUGUCCGAUUUCGAUCGGAAAACCGUCAAAUUUUGAUGGGAAAA